GAUGAACGCUGGCGGCGUGCCUAAUACAUGCAAGUCGAGCGAACGGACGAGAAGCUUGUUUCUCUGAUGUUUGCGGCGGACGGGUGAGUAACACGUGGAUACCCUCCCUAUCAGACUGGGAUAAUUUCGGAACACCGGCGCUAAUACCGGAUAAUAUUCUGAACCGCAUGGUUCAAAAGUGAAAGACGGUCUUGCUGUCACUUAUAGAUGGAUCCGCGCUGCAUUAGAUAGUUGGUAAGGUAACGGCCUUCCAAGGCUACGAUGCCUAGCCGACCUGAGAGGGUGAUAGGCGGCCCUGGAGGUGGAACGGCGUCAAGGCGCCUGCGGGAGGCAGCAGUAGGGUAUGUGCCGCAGUAGGCGAAAGCAUGACGGAGCAAGGGCGAGUGAGUGAUGGAGAUCUUCGGAUCGUAAAGCUCGGUUAUGGGGGAUGAACAGAUGUGUAAGGAACUGUGCACAGCGUGACGGUACCGGAUCAGGAAGCAACGGCUAACUACGUG
rnacentral:rRNA from 1 species